rnacentral:rRNA from 1 species
CGCUAGCGGCAGGCUUAAUACAUGCAAGUCGUGGGGCAGCAUGAGUAGCAAUACUUGAUGGCGACCGGCAAACGGGUGAGGAACACGUACACAACCUUCCUUCAAGCGGGGAAUAGCCCAGAGAAAUUUGGAUUAAUACCCAUAAUAUAUUUGAUAAGGCAUCUUAUUAAUAUUAAAGCUUCGGCACUUGAUGAUGGGUGUGCGGCUGAUUAGAUAGUUGGCGGGGUAACGGCCCACCAAGUCUACGAUCAGUAGCUGAUGUGAGAGCAUGAUCAGCCACACGGGCACUGAGACACGGGCCCGACUCCUACGGGAGGCAGCAGUAAGGAAUAUUGGACAAUGGACGAAAGUCUGAUCCAGCCAUGCCGCGUGAAGGAUUAAGGUCCUCUGGAUUGUAAACUUCUUUUAUAUGGGACGAAAAAAGGGCAUUCUUGUUCACUUGACGGUACCAUAUGAAUAAGCACCGGCUAACUCCGUG